AUCCAGCUGACGAGUCCCAAACAGGAAAGAAUGCGCAUUCUGGAU
rnacentral:hammerhead_ribozyme from 1 species